rnacentral:rRNA from 1 species
GACGAACGCUGGCGGCGUGCCUAAUACAUGCAAGUCGAACGCAGUGGGGACGGGUGAGUAACACGUGGGUAACCUCCCAUCAGAGGGGAUAACACUUGGAAACAGGUGCUAAACCGAUACUGAUGGAUGGCCCAGCGGUGCAUUAGCUAGUUGGUGAGGUAACGGCUCAACAAGGCCACGAUGCAUAGACGACCUGAGAGGGGUAUGGGCCACACUGUGACUGAGAACCGGCCCAGACUCCUACGAGAGGCAGCAGUAGGGAAUCUUCAGCAAGGGACGAAAGUCUGACCGAGCAACGCCGCGUGAGUGAAGAAGUUUUUCGGAUCGUAAAACUCUUUUGUUAGAGAAGCGGUAUCUAACCAGAAAGCCACGGCUAACUACGUGCCAGCAGCCGCGGUAAUUC